rnacentral:lncRNA from 1 species
AUAUACUCUGGGCUUUUUAUGUCUUGGAACUAUACUCUUAUCAUUUCAUAGGAUAUUAAAGGUAUUUGCCCCUCUUCUUAGGGCCAUUUUAUACUUCCCAUGCUUAACAUACCUACGUAAUACUUUGUCUAUAUUGCUGUAAUAGGUAAUUGCUGCAUAAGGGUAUGUAUCGAUGUUCUGGGUUAUUUCUGGGGUGCCCGUUAUCGAUUGUUGCACAGACCUACGUAUGCUUCUCCAUAUUUUAUGUAUGGAGCUAUCUCCAUAACCGUAUCGUCGUCCAAGAGCAAAAAUAUACUGCAGUUCUUGGGCCUUUCUUGCCAAUUUGUGAUGUGUGUGUGAACCCAGACAAGCAUAAACCAGAAGCUUGCCAACUUAUAGGAGGC